rnacentral:rRNA from 1 species
CGUAGGUGGCAAGCGUUGUCCGGAUUUACUGGGCGUAAAGCGCGCGCAGGCGGCUGGUCAAGUCCGAUGUGAAAGCUCCCGGCUUAACUGGGAAACGGCAUCGGAAACUGAUCGGCUUGAAGGUGGGAGAGGGUAGUGGAAUUCCCGGUGUAGUGGUGAAAUGCGUAGAUAUCGGGAGGAACACCAGUGGCGAAGGCGACUACCUGGCCCACUCUUGACGCUGAGGCGCGAAAGCUAGGGGAGCGAACGGGAUUAGAUACCUUGGUAGUCCUAGCCGUAAACGAUGAACACUAGGCGUAGUCGGUAUCGACCCCGGCUGUGCCGAAACCAACGCAUUAAGUGUUCCGCCUGGGGAGUACGGCCGCAAGGCUA